rnacentral:lncRNA from 1 species
AGGUGGAUCUGAGAAGAUGUUGCUAUCGUUUAUGUCAGAGAGUGUUUGGCCUAUGUUUUCCUCUAGGAGUUUGAUAGUGUCUGGUCUUAUAUCUAGGUCUUUAAUCCAUUUGGAGUUUAUUUUUGUGUCUGGUGUUAGGGAGUGUUCUGAUUUCAUUCUUUUCCAUGUGGCUGUCCAGUUUUCCCAGCACCACUGAUUGAACAAGUUGUCCUUUCUCCAUUGUAUCGUCUUGCCUCCUUUGUCAUAGAUGAGUUGACUGUAGGUGCGUGGGUUUAAUUCUGGUCUUUCUAUCCUGUUCUGCUGAUCUGUAUUUCUGUCUUUGUGCCAGUACCAUGUGGUUUUGAUGACUGUUGCUUUGUAUAUAGUCUGAAGUUCUGGGAGCCUGAUUCCUCCAGCUCCAUUUUUCUUUUUCAGGAUGUCUUUGGCUAUUCUGGGUCUUUUGUGCUUCCAAGCAAACUUUAAAAUAUUUUGUUCGAGUUCUGUGAAAAAUGAUAUGCUUUUCCACAGUAUCCUUUUUUUUUCAUUUAUAAUUAUUUUUAUUUUCUCCACUAUAGCUGGUUUACAGUGUUCUGUCAAUUUUCUACUGUACAGCAAUGUGACCCAGUUACACAUAUAUGUAUACAUUCUUUUUUCUCACAUUAUUAUGCCCCAUCAUAAGUGACUAGACAUAAUUCCCAGUGCUAUACUUCAUUGUUUAUCCAUUCCAAAGGCAACAGUUUACAUCUAUUAACCCCAAAUUCCCAAUCCGUCCCACUCCCACACAGUAUCAUUUAUCUUAUUCCUCUUUAUAUAUCUUGUAAACUUCAAAAUUAGAUUUAUAAGCUUAAUUAUAUUGAUGUUAAACCUUUUUUGGCAAGAGUGUUUCACAAGUGUUUUGUAUGUUAUGUCUCCUUUUAUUAGUGAGGAAUUUUUCUGAGAAAUUCCAUAGCAAACUUCCAUGGGUGGCCUUGGCCAGGGCAGGGCACAUGCAAAGCCCUGGACCACUCUAGUGAUGGGACUGGAAACACCAUGCUUGGCUCAUUGGUUUUAACUCUGUGGGCUGAGGAUGGUGCCCAGCUCUUCCCAUACACACACAAAAAGGUGGAGAAAGCAAGAAGCAUCUUUUUCCUGAUCCUUCUGUGCAUCAGCAAGUUCUGCUGCUGAAAAGUGUCUGAUAUGUACCCACUUUUCUCCAUCUUGACAACUACACCUGUCCAAGUCACCUGUCCAACAGCUCUGGCCAUCUGUAGCCAUGAACUCCUAACCCCUCUCCCUGUUUCAAAUCUAUUGUCUAAACAGUCAUUAGAGUUGUCAUUUAAAAAUCUAAGUUCCUGCUUUAAUUCUGUCAGUGGCUUCCCAGUACCUUAAAAUCCUCCAAUCUCAAAAUGUUACAUCAUCUAGUUCCUGUUUACCUCUCCAAUCUCAGAUGGUCCACCCUCUUGCAUACUCAGUAAGUACAGUUACACAGGCUUUCACUUUGUUCUUUGAGUGUGCUGAACCCUUUACUGAUUCAGGGCUUCUGGACAUGCUGUUCCCUCGGAAUACCACCCCACCCCCACUGGCUGGCAGUAGAAUAUAGUGGUUGUUACAGGCUGAAUUGUGCACCUCCCCCUCAUUCAUAUAUUGAAGUCAUAACCUCCAAUACCUCAGAAUGUGACUGUUAUUCAGAAAGAGGAUCUUUAACAAGGUAAGUUGAGGUAAAGCGAGAUCAUGAGGGUGUGCCCUAUUCUGACCUGCAUCCUCAUAAAAGAGAAGAUUCUGAUCCAGACACCCCCAGAGGGAAGACCACGUGAAGAUACAGGGAGAAGGGGGCCAUCUACAAGCACGGAGGGAGGCCUCAGAGGAGAUCAGCUCUGCUAACACCUUGAUCUUGGACAUCCAGAAUUGUGAGAAAAUAAAUUCUGCUGUUUAGGCCACUCUAUCUAUAGGGUGCAAACUAACACAACAGUUAAGUAGGUAAGUUGUGGAGUAGCCUUCCUAAGUGUAAAUCUUUCCUAUGCUCAUUACUAGCAAAUUAUUUGAACUUUUCAUGACUUAGAUUCCUUUUCUAUAAAAUGGGGAUGCUAACAAGAGUACCAAUAGAGUGAAACCAUCCAGUUUGCCAUAGGCCAAGGGGUUUCCUGGGAUGUAGGACUUUCAGUGCUACACUGAGUAUGGCUAUUGUGAGACUGAAUGAAUACACACAGUAUACUAGAAGACUAUCUAGCACAGGGUAAGCUCUCAAUGAAUAACAGGUAUUGUUACUAUUACUAAUAAUAUUUCAAAUCUCAGCUUAACUGUCACUUCUCAGAGAUACUUUUCCUGAUCUCAUGAUCUGGAUUAGGACUCUCUGUUAAAUUCUGGUAUCUGGUUUUUUGUUUGUUUGGUUGGUUUUUUAGAGCCACAUCUGGGACACAUGGAGGUUCCCAGGCUAAGGGUUGAAUCAGAGCUGUAGUUGCUGGCCGACACCACAGCCACAGCAACACCAGAUCCACAGCCACAGCAACACCAGAUCCAAGCCGUGUCUGUGAUCUACACCACAGCUCACGGCAACGCCGGAUCCUUAACCCACUGAAUGAGGCUGGGGAUUGAAACCUGAUCCUCAUGGAUGCUAGUCGGGCUCAUUAACCACUAAGCCACGACGGGAACUCCUAUCUGGUUCUUUUUUGUUAAUGUUUCCCCAAUAUCCCUUCUCUUCAUUUUCAAUAAUAAUAGGGUCCUGAUUUCUAACUAGGCUCAUGGCUGCCUGGAAUGAAGACUAUUUCAAGCUUCUACUGGAGAAAACUAAGUUCUGACCAAUGGGAUAUGAGCACAUGUGAUGGGCAAAUUCAGGGUUGUGUCCUAAAAGCAGAGGGCUCUUAGAUCAAGGAAGCUGUGAACAGAAUUCAUGGGGUGGAGGGAGGUGUCUGUGACUUUGAAUAGGAAAAAAAAAACUAUAUAUUUUCACUAACUGCUAAUUAAAACUUAGCAUUAGCUUCAAUUAUCAAUAUAGCAGGAAGUAUUAGGAGUCACUGUGAUCUUGUCCUCACAUGAAAUCACAAACAGUUUUUUGCUAUUGUUUAUGGUCAUGACCCCAUGAAACUUGAAAUCUAACUCACUGCUAGAUCUUACUAUUUAACGUUUAGAGAAGCACAUAUAUUGUUAUAUGCCAUGCACAAAAAUGAUGAAGAAAUUCCUGUCUGAAAGAGAAAAGCAUCUUGCAACUUCCCCUUACACUAUUGCUGCUGGCUGGCCACUAGCAAUGGGUCAUCUUGGACACGCGGGUGAGGACUAUACCCCUUAAAUGAUGGAACAAGACUGAAAGAGCCUAGAUCUCAGGUACCCUGGAUUCUUCCUGCAACCCUAGACUGCUGACACCCAAAUUGCGACUUGAAAAAAGAACAAAUGUCUACUUCAUUUACAGCAGUGUUAUUUUGUGUCUUGAACCUAUAUCCUUAUUAAUCUAACAAUAGUCAUCCCACUUUAUAAUCAUUUAUUUAGUUGUGAUGAUUUUUGUGUGUUUAAAUAUUUUUACCACUAAGGGGUAAGUUCUUUGAGGACAUGGAGCAUAUGUAUUUGUUCUCUCUGGAAUCCUAGCAACUGGUACAGGGCAGGCAGAAGACUUCCAAUAAAUGUUUCAAAAUGAAUGGAAUAAUGGCUUAAGAAAAUGUGUAUGACCAUGUUAGGGGAAUCAAAUUACAGUGUACAGGCCAUGUGUAAAAACAAGCAAAGAGCCUAUGCAUGGAAAAAAAAGUAUGGAAGAAAAUAUAAAAUGUGAACAGUAAAUUAUUUGAAUUACAGGUUUUAGCAUGGUUUUUUCUACAUCUGCCAGUACUUUCCAAAUUUCCUUUAAUGAGAUUAAAAAAUGGGUUUGGUAUUACACUCUUUUAGUUUUUGUUUGUUGCAAAAAUUCUUUAUUUCUCCUUCUAUUUUAAAUGAUAUUCUUGCUGGGUAGAGUAUUCUAGACUGCAAAUUUUUCCCUUUUAGAACUUUGGAUAUAUCUUGCCACUCUCUUCUGGCCUGUAGCGUUUCUGUAGAGAAAUCAGCUGAUAGCCUUAAGGGGGUUCCCUUACAAUUAAUGCUUUGAUUUUCUCUUGCUGCCUUUAGAAUCCUCUCUUUAGCCUGAACUUUUGCCAUUUUUAUUAUAAUAUGUCAUGGUGUGGGCCUGUUUGGGUUUAACUUAUUUGGGGCCCUCUGUGCUUCCUGUAUCUUGAUAGCUAUUUCCUCUAGAUUUGUAAAGUUUUCAGCCAUACUUUCUUCAAAUAUAUUUUCCUUCUUUCUUUUCUUUUAUUUUCUUUCUUUCUUUUUUUUUUUUUUUUUUUUUUUGUCUUUUUGCCUUUUCUAGGGCUGCUUUCCGUGGCAUAUGGAGGUUCCCAGGCUAGGGGUCUAAUCAGAGCUGUAGCCACUGGCCUAAGCCAGAGCCACAGAAACACUGAAUCUGAGCCUCGUCUGUGACCUACACCACAGCUCAUGGCAAUGCCGGAUCCUUAAUCCACCGAGCAAGGCCAGGGAUCGAACCUGCAACCUCAUGGUUCCUAGUUGGAUUCGUUUCUGCUGUGCCACAACCGGAACUCCUGCUUAGAUUUUUUUCUUAUUUUGUGAGUUUAGGGAAAACAACUACUAUAGUCCUGGAGAGCUAUUUAUAUGCAAGAGUGCCCCUGGGUAUUUUGUGAGGGCUUAAUACUUAUUUCUGGUGUGAGAGCUACUUUUGGUUUGUAUGCUUGCAGUCUCUUUCCUCAGUGUGUGCAGGCUGUUAUCCCCUUGAUAGGGUGCUGUGCAUGGUUCCAGGGAGAUGGAGGCAAUGGGCAGGGCUGGUAGU